GGUUGUUGAGCUUGUGUUAUGGCGCUCGCCUGGAACGCGGGUUGGGUUAACAGCCCUCAGGGGUUCAAAUCCCCUAUCCUCCG
rnacentral:tRNA from 1 species